CCUUUGAGACUUGUUGCGUAAUUAGUUUAGUUCUCCCCGUAAGUCUUGCGAGUACUUUGUACUCAGUUGCUUUGCAACGUUGUUUUCUUCAGAGGUUCCAGCAGAGCAGGUGAGCCGCUAGCUUCUUCGUGGAGCACGACGUUGGAUUCGAUGUUUAGCCAGGAGAUCGAGAUCAGGGUUCUGAGACUUGUGGCGGGUUUCCUUCCAGCUUCCAGCCUCUUCAGGCCAUGCUGUAUUCUUGUCCGUACUCGGGCAUAAUUCGACUUCCGCUGAUGUAAUGAUGUAAUGUUGGGACAUGUGUCCUCUCUUUGUAAUAUUUGUUAUUCUGCUCCUUGUAUGAGCUUUGUAAUUACUCUCUUUUGUAGAGUUUUGGUAAUGAUAUUCAUGUUGCAAAAUCCUGUGAUGAGCACAUUAAUGCAUGUAUGUAUUGAAGUGUUUAUCGUAGGUUAAGAACCUGAG
rnacentral:lncRNA from 1 species